rnacentral:tRNA from 1 species
UUAAUUGAAACCAAAAAAGAGGUAAAUCACUGUUAAUGAUUUUAAUGAAUAAUAAUUCCAAUUAAG